rnacentral:rRNA from 1 species
GACGAACGCUGGCGGCGUGCUUAACACAUGCAAGUCGAACGGAAAGGCCUGCUUUCCCUUGUGGAUUGCGGGUACUCGAGUGGCGAACGGGUGAGUAACACGUGAGUGAUCUGCCCCCAACUUGGGUAUAAGCCUGGGAAACUGGGUCUAAUUCCCGAUAGGACUGCAGGGUGGUGCCUGUGGUGGAAAACGAUUUUCUAGUGGUUGGGGAUGAGCUCGCGACCUAUCAGCUUGUUGGUGGGGUAAUGGCCUACCAAGGCGGCGACGGGUAGCCGGCCUGGGAGGGUGGACGGCCACAUUGGGACUGAGAUACGGCCCAGACUCCUACGGGAGGCAGCAGUGGGGAAUAUUGCACAAUGGGCGGAAGCCUGAUGCAGCGACGCCGCGUGGGGGAUGACGGCCUUCGGGUUGUAAACUCCUUUCGACCGCGAGGAAGCCACCUGGUUGGAAGGGUGGUGACGGUAGUGGUAGAAGAAGCACCGGCUAACUACGUG